UCACGGAUUUUACCCAAAAAGUAAUCACCUUCAAAGUAACAUACAUGGUAACCCGUAAGCUGGUAGGUGUAUGAACACCCAUGUUAUAACGACUGUCGUUUUGCGGCCAUGCGAAGAUAUACGUCACAUUCAACAACUAAUGUAGAGCAAAUGAGUUUAACCUGUGUUAUGCAAGCUUGCAUACAAGUUAUACGGUUCGGUACCUCGUGUUAGGUUACGGCUGGUGCCUUCAAAACUUGUAACUUCCUUUCACUAUCUUCGACGUUGCAACAUGGCUAGUUACUGUUUUUCUGCGAAUCAGCUGCAACAGGCAAUUGGUAAAAACGAAAGUCAAUCAGUGAAAUAAAGCAAGAGGUUGUACCAGCCAGGCUAAAUGGCCGAACCGGAGAACUCGAGGUUCGGGGCGAUCGCUUUGUUCAUGAACGCAGGGAUGCUGGUCAUGAUCACUGGAUACCAAAUAACUAUUUUAAACCCGUUGGCGCCGGUUAUGGUCAGUUUGUUCAAUCAAACACAUGUGAGCCGCUACGGUGUCCCAA